rnacentral:rRNA from 1 species
UGAGCAAUCUGCCCUUCUCAUCGGAAUAAGCGUUAGAAACGACGUCUAAUGCCGAAUACGACCUCCUUUCGCAUGAUCUGAAGUGGAAAGCUCCGGCGGUGAAGGAUGAGCUCGCGGCCUAUCAGCUUGUUGGUGGUAAUAGCUCACCAAGGCGAUGACGGGUAGCCGGCCUGAGGAGGGGUGACCCGGCCACACGUGGGACUGACGACCACGGCCCAGACCUGUACGGGA